rnacentral:misc_RNA from 1 species
GAUGAAGAACGCAGCGAAAUGCGAUAAGUAAUGUGAAUUGCAGAAUUCAGUGAAUCAUCGAAUCUUUGAACGCACAUUGCGCCCGCCAGUAUUCUGGCGGGCAUGCCUGUUCGAGCGUCAUUACAACCCUCAGGCCCCCGGGCCUGGCGUUGGGGAUCGGCGGAGCCCCCCGUGGGCACACGCCGUCCCCCAAAUGCAGUGGCGGUCCCGCCGCAGCUUCCAUCGCGUAGUAGCUAACACCUCGCGACUGGAGAGCGGCGCGGCCACGCCGUAAAACACCCAACUCUUCUGAAGUUGACCUCGAAUCAGGUAGGAAUACCCACUGAACUUAAGCAUAUCAAUAAGCGGAGGA